UACGUAGGUGGCGAGCGUUGUCCGGAUUUACUGGGCGUAAAGAGCGCGCAGGUGGUUGAUUAAGUCUGAUGUGAAAGCCCACGGCUUAACCGUGGAGGGUCAUUGGAAACUGGUCGACUUGAGUGCAGAAGAGGGAAGUGGAAUUCCAUGUGUAGCGGUGAAAUGCGUAGAGAUAUGGAGGAACACCAGUGGCGAAGGCGGCUUCCUGGUCUGUAACUGACACUGAGGCGCGAAAGCGUGGGGAGCAAACAGGAUUAGAUA
rnacentral:rRNA from 1 species